rnacentral:lncRNA from 1 species
CUGGGCCACGGAUGUGCACUGUGCUGAGGUUUCUCAGACAGCCUGUGAGGGCAGACCCUGCACGGAGGCAUCUGUGGUGUGCUGGUGCUCACACCCUCCUCACUGGACCCCAGGACCAAAGAGGACAAGACGGACAGAAUUGCAGAGGUUUUGCCUGUUAACCAGCUGCUCUCUGUUCCUCACCACCCUGCCUCCCUCGAGAUGUAAGUGCCAGGCACAGGAAGCCACCCUCCGGAGGAGCAGUGAGAACAGAGACCCUUCCGAUGGCGGAGGGAAUUGCCUGAAGACUUGCAGGAUGAGAAACCCAUUUUCCUCGGACGGCUGAGGUUCUAGCACACUGGCACUGGAGGCCCCAUGGCUCAGCCUCUCCGAUUAGGAACGGCACAGCCCCGACCUGGGGACAUCCAAUGGUCCGGCGUGUUGUCUCCCAACCUCAAAGCGUAAAGUUGCAAACCAAAGGAAGUUAGGAGAGAUUUAUUGAAAUAAGGGGAGGGAGAACAGCUCCCCAGCGGGGUCCCGAGUGGGUGGCCGCCAAAGCCAUUUGUCAGGG